rnacentral:rRNA from 1 species
AUGGCAUAACGAGGGUUUAACUGUCUCCUUCCCCUAGUCAAUGAAAUUGAUCUGCCCGUGCAGAAGCGGACAUAAAUACAUAAGACGAGAAGACCCUAUGGAGCUUUAGACAAAAGAUCAAACAUGUAAAGAAACCAAGUUAACCAAAAGGAACACAAAGGCCACGAAACCCGACGUAAACUGAUCCAAAUGUCUUCGGUUGGGGCGACCAUGGGGGAGAAAAAAGCCCCCACGAGGAACAGG